AAGAGAAAAGAAAGAAAGAAAGAAAAGGCUGAUGGGUUUGUGACCGACUGGUCACAUCUGUGCUGGACUGUCAACUGACAUAAGUAAUUUUUUUUUUUAGUCACUAACAUCUUCUUAUUAAUUUGGUUUUUUUAAAUUUUAAUUAAUAUAUCAAUUUUUUCAAUUAAAUUUUCAUAUAUAUUUUCAUAUUCAAAUAUUAUUUAUUUCCUCAUUUCUUUUAUUAUUUUCAAAUUUUUUAUUUAACUCAGAUUUAUUUUAUUAAAC
rnacentral:lncRNA from 1 species